rnacentral:rRNA from 1 species
CAGAGGUGCCAAGCGUUAGGCGGAAUCACUGGGCUUAAAGCGUGUGUAGGCGGACUUCUAAGUACCUUGUGAAAUCCCACGGCUCAACCGUGGAACUGCUUGGUAUACUGGUCGUCUUGAGCCAUCUAGGGGCUGUCGGAACAAAUGGUGGAGCGGUGAAAUGCGUAGAUAUCAUUUGGAACGCCAAAGGUGAAAACAGACAGCUGGGGAUGUGCUGACGCUGAGACACGAAAGCCAGGGGAGCGAACGGG